rnacentral:rRNA from 1 species
CCUACGGGCGGCUGCAGUGAGGAAUAUUGGUCAAUGGACGAGAGUCUGAACCAGCCAAGUAGCGUGAAGGAUGACUGCCCUAUGGGUUGUAAACUUCUUUUAUAUGGGAAUAAAACGUUCCACGUGUGGGAUUUUGUAUGUACCAUAUGAAUAAGGAUCGGCUAACUCCGUGCCAGCAGCCGCGGUAAUACGGAGGAUCCGAGCGUUAUCCGGAUUUAUUGGGUUUAAAGGGAGCGUAGGUGGAUUGUUAAGUCAGUUGUGAAAGUUUGCGGCUCAACCGUAAAAUUGCAGUUGAAACUGGCAGUCUUGAGUACAGUAGAGGUGGGCGGAAUUCGGGGUGUAGCGGUGAAAUGCUUAGAUAUCACGAAGAACUCCGAUUGCGAAGGCAGUUCACUGGACUGCAACUGACACUGAGGCUCGAAAGUGUGGGUAUCAAACAGGAUUAGAUACCCCAGUAGUC